AACGAAUUAAUCGUGAAACCGCGAACGGCUCAUUAAAUCAGCUAUAAUCUACUUGAUCUUGACAAUAUCCUGACUUGGAUAACUGUGGUAAUUCUAGAGCUAAUACAUGCACAAAUGCUCUGACCUUACGGAAAGAGUGCAUUUAUUAGAGCAAAACCAAGCGAUUGCCUUUGGGUAGUCGUUUUUUGCUGACUCAGAAUAACUUCAGCUGAUCGCAUGGUCUUUGCACCGGCGACGUGUCUUUUGAGUAUCUGCCUUAUCAAUUUUCGAUGGUAGUGUAUCUGACUACCAUGGUGUUGACGGGUAACGGAGAAUUAGGGUUCGACUCCGGAGAAGGGGCCUGAGAAAUGGCCACUACGUCUAAGGAUGGCAGCAGGCGCGCAAAUUACCCACUCUCAGAAUGAGGAGGUAGUGACGAGAAAUAACGAGGCCGUUCUCUAUGAGGCCGGUUAUCGGAAUGGGUACAAUCUAAACCCUUUAACGAGUAUCUAUGAGAGGGCAAGUCUGGUGCCAGCAGCCGCGGUAAUACCAGCUCUCAAAAUGCAUAGAAUCAUUGCUGCGGUUAAAAAGCUCGUAGUUGAAUCUAUGCCAAAGGUUUGGUCCACUCUAUUGAGUGCGCACUAAACGUCUUUGGCUUUGAUCGUCGGUUUUCUUGUCGUAGCCUUGACUUGGUUGCGAUAAGUGGCUGGCAAUUUUACUUUGAACAAAUCAGAGUGCUUAAAACAGGCGUUUUGCUUGUAUGUUUUUGCAUGGAAUAAUAGAAUAUGACUAUGGUCUAGUUUUAUUGGUUUUAUAGAUCGUUGUAAUGAUUAAAAGAGACAAACGGGGGCAUUCGUAUUGUUGCGUGAGAGGUGAAAUUCUUGGACCGUAGCAAGACGACCUACAGCGAAAGCAUUUGCCAAGCUUGUCUUCAUUAAUCAAGAACGAAAGUC
rnacentral:rRNA from 1 species